rnacentral:rRNA from 1 species
GAUGAACGCUAGCGAUAGGCUUAACACAUGCAAGUCGAGGGGCAGCAUGAUCUUAGCUUGCUAAGGUUGAUGGCGACCGGCGCACGGGUGCGUAACGCGUAUGCAACUUGCCUUACAGAGGGGGAUAACCCGUUGAAAGACGGACUAAAACCGCAUACACUUGUAUUAUUGCAUGAUAUUACAAGGAAAUAUUUAUAGCUGUAAGAUAGGCAUGCGUCCCAUUAGCUGGUUGGUGAGGUAACGGCUCACCAAGGCAACGAUGGGUAGGGGAACUGAGAGGUUUAUCCCCCACACUGGUACUGAGACACGGACCAGACUCCUACGGGAGGCAGCAGUGAGGAAUAUUGGUCAAUGGGCGAGAGCCUGAACCAGCCAAGUCGCGUGAAGGAAGACAGUCCUAAGGAUUGUAAACUUCUUUUAUACGGGAAUAACGGGCGAUACGAGUAUUGCAUUGAAUGUACCGUAAGAAUAAGCAUCGGCUAACUCCGUGCCAGCAGCCGCGGUAAUACGGAGGAUGCGAGCGUUAUCCGGAUUUAUUGGGUUUAAAGGGUGCGUAGGUUGUUCGGUAAGUCAGCGGUGAAACCUGAGCGCUCAACGUUCAGCCUGCCGUUGAAACUGCCGGGCUUGAGUUCAGUGGCGGCAGGCGGAAUUCGUGGUGUAGCGGUGAAAUGCAUAGAUAUCACGAGGAACUCCGAUUGCGAAGGCAGCUUGCCAUACUGCGACUGACACUGAAGCACGAAGGCGUGGGUAUCAAACAGG